rnacentral:rRNA from 1 species
UACGAAGGGGGCUAGCGUUGUUCGGAAUUACUGGGCGUAAAGCGCGCGCAGGCGGUUUUUCAAGUCAGUGGUGAAAGCCCGGAGCUCAACUCCGGAAUUGCCAUUGAAACUGUUGAACUUGAGGACGAGAGAGGUGAGUGGAAUUCCCAGUGUAGAGGUGAAAUUCGUAGAUAUUGGGAAGAACACCGGUGGCGAAGGCGGCUCACUGGCUCGUUUCUGACGCUCAGGCGCGACAGCGUGGGGAUCAAACAGGAUUAGAUACCCUGGUAGUCCACGCCGUAAACGAUGAAUGCUAGCCGUUGGAUAGCUUGCUGUUCAGUGGCGCAGCUAACGCAUUAAGCAUUCCGCCUGGGGAGUACGGCCGCAAGGUUGAAACUCAAAG